rnacentral:rRNA from 1 species
AGCGGCGAAAGGGAGAGUAACGCGUGGAUAUCUACCCCCGGGUCCGGGAUAGCUGUGGGAAACUACAGGUAAUACCGGAUAACGUCUCCGGACCAAAGGUGUGAUUCCGUCUGGGGAUGAGUCCGCGUCCUACUAGCUUGUUGGUGGGGUAACGGCCUACCAAGGCAAUGAUGGGUACCGGGUGUGAGAGCAUGGCCCGGCUCACUGGGACUGAGACACUGCCCAGACACCUACGGGUGGCUGCAGUCGAGAAUCUUCCGCAAUGGGCGCAAGCCUGACGGAGCGACGCCGCGUGCGGGAUGAAGGCCUUCGGGUUGUAAACCGCUGUCAGUUGGGAGGAAAUGCAUAAGGGUUCUCUCUUAUGUUUGACCGAUCUUCAGAGGAAGUCCGGGCUAAGUUCGUGCCAGCAGCCGCGGUAAGACGAACCGGACGAACGU